rnacentral:snoRNA from 1 species
GAAACCGUACUAUACAGAAUCAUUUCUGUAGUGUGUAUUUCGCGAUCCCAACCAAAAAGCGACACCUGUCCGCCGCGAUGAACGGGAGACGGGGGAGUUGCGAGCGGGAAGAACGCGGCUUGCCGCGCUGAGGACCGUGACGCGUCCGCAAGGACGUGUCAGCGACUUGCUCUUCUGAGCUGU